UCUCUUAGUCGUGCCCACGUGACAUAAAGAGAUAGUGGAAGCGUUCCAGAAAUGUUGCGAAGAGUGGAAAACGCGCUGGAAUCGCUGUACAGCUGCCCAACGGGACUACUUUGAAGGGGAUGGCGGAGUUGUAGAAUAAUUUUUAAAUAUAUGGUUUUUUUUUUAAUCAGUCUCAUUACCCAGUUGUCUAACCUCGUAGAGUGAACGAAGGUAAGAUGAAAAAAUGUUCUUAUUCUUCGAUGUACCGCACCUUAUAAAAUUAUUACGAAAUCAUUUCAUUGAUUCUGGUUUAACUAUAAAGGGUAAAUUCGUAAAUACUCAGCCAAUAAAAAACGUUUUGGAUUUAAAAACAGGUUAAAGCGGUUAAGGUUAAGGCGAAUUGGAGCAUUUCUUCACUUAUAUUCGAUCAAAAGGCGGCCUUCAUGAUCAUCUAACGGGAUUGGAGUUAAGGGCAAUCGGAUAAUACCCGGCAGGUUACUGCGUACAGCAACUUAGAAGAUACGGAAGGAAAAUUCAGCGAUAUGUUUAUCACGAACAAAAUGUCAACUGAUUUAGCGAAAAAUGCUGAGCGGGAUUGGUUUCCAUUGAAGGAGAAAUAAAAGAUAUACCCUUCGGCAAAAUGACAGUAGAUGCAUUAGACAAUUUGGCGGGGUUUAUUAUUAAAAAGUGCCGAAUCGAAGGAGAAACAAUGCAAAUGGGUGCAUAUUCCUAUGGCCUGAAGAAACCAAACCAGUAGUUUCUUGAAUCCGUCUUCAAAUGUAAUAUUCAAAAGGUUGGAGAUAAAAUUUUUAGUGACAAAAGUUGCAUUUCCUGCGCUAAAAUAUUCCGUUGGCUGCUAACGUCAACGAGUUAUUUUUUAAAUGCCGCCCCUAUUUUCGAAUUAGGCACCUAAUUUAUUUGCUUCCA
rnacentral:lncRNA from 1 species